UCGAGCGGACAGAUGGGAGCUUGCUCCCUGAUGUUAGCGGCGGACGGGUGAGUAACACGUGGGUAACCUGCCUGUAAGACUGGGAUAACUCCGGGAAACCGGGGCUAAUACCGGAUGGUUGUYUGAACCGCAUGGUUCAGACAUAAAAGGUGGCUUCGGCUACCACUUACAGAUGGACCCGCGGCGCAUUAGCUAGUUGGUGAGGUAACGGCUCACCAAGGCGACGAUGCGUAGCCGACCUGAGAGGGUGAUCGGCCACACUGGRAACUGAGACACGGCCCAGACUCCUACGGGAGGCAGCAGUAGGGAAUCUUCCGCAAUGGACGAAAGUCUGACGGAGCAACGCCGCGUGAGUGAUGAAGKUUUUCGGAUCGUAAAGCUCUGUUGUUAGGGAAGAACAAGUGCCGUUCAAAUAGGGCGGCACCUUGACGGUACCUAACCAGAAAGCCACGGCUAACUACGUGCCAGCAGCCGCGGUAAUACGUAGGUGGCAAGCGUUGUCCGGAAUUAUUGGGCGUAAAGGGCUCGCAGGCGGUUUCUUAAGUC
rnacentral:rRNA from 1 species